rnacentral:rRNA from 1 species
GACGAACGCUGGCGGCGUGCUUAACACAUGCAAGUCGAACGGAAAGGCCCUGCUUUUGUGGGGUGCUCGAGUGGCGAACGGGUGAGUAUCACGUGAGUAACCUGCCCUUGACUUUGGGAUAACUUCUGGAAACUGGGGCUAAUACCGGAUAGGAGCUCCUGCUGCAUGGUGGGGGUUGGAGAGUUUCGGCGGUUGGGGCUGGACUCGCGGCUUAUGAGCUGGUUGGUGGGGUAGUAGCUUACAAAGGGUUUGACGGGUAGCCGGCCUGAGAGGGUGGCCGGCCACAUUGGUACUGCGAUACGGCCCAGACUCCUACGGUAGGCAGCAGUGGAGAAUAUUGCACAAUGGGCGGAAGCCUGAUACAACAACGCCGCGUGCGUGAUGACGGCCUUCGGGUGGUAAACCGCUUUCGCCUGUGACGAAGCGUGAGUGACGGUAAUGAGUAAAGAAGCACCGGCUAACUACGUG